GACGAACGCUGGCGGCGUGCUUAACACAUGCAAGUCGAACGGAAAGGCCAUGCUCUUGUUGGGUGCUCGAGUGGCGAACGGGUGAGUAACACGUGAGUAACCUGCCCUUGUCUUUGGGAUAACAUUAGGAAACUGGGGCGAAUACCGGAUAGGAGCUCCUGAUGCGUGGGGGGGGUUGGAAAGUGUCGGCGGUUGGGGAUGGACUCGCUGCUUACCAGCUGGUUGGUGGGGUAGGUGCUGACAAAGGCUUUGACGGGUAGCCGGCCUGAGAGGGUGACCGGGCACAUUGGGACUGAGAUACGGCCCAGACGCCUACGGGAGGCAGCAGUCGGGAAUAUGGCACAAUGGGCGGAAGCGUGAUGCAGCAACGCCGCGUUCGGGAUACCGGCCUUCGGGUGAUAAACCGCUUUCUCCGGUGACGAAGCGUGAUUGACGGUAAUGGGUAAAGAAGCACCGGCUAACUACGUG
rnacentral:rRNA from 1 species